ensembl:lncRNA
CCCACUCCCAGCCUGGCUGCUGGCAUCUCCCUCCUGUCGGGGUACCUGGGGGCCUCAUCAUUUGCCUAACAGUGUUUGACCUCCUGCCCGCGAAGCCUUACUCGUCCCCGCGUGAGAGCUCGGCUCGUCUGAGUAUUGGGCGAAGAAACUACAAGGAAAGACGGGUCGGCCGCUCUGAGAACCAGGCCUGACAGUGUCCCAGGUUUGGCUUCGGGAGGAACCUCGGGGACAGCCUUCCUGGGGGAGGACGGCGCUGUGGGUCCCCAAUUGUCCAUUUCCCAGCAGCGCGACUGUGGGCAAGCUGCCGCCCCUUUAUCUGUGAGUGCAGUGACAACAGUCAUCUCCCCGGUGGCGCUGUUCAGAGGAUGACAGGAGCGCUGGCCAGGCACCAGCUUUUGCUGAGAGUUUGUAUGAGCUCUGGCCUGCCUCACAGUAGGAGAUCACUAGUUGUGCAGGCUUAAAUGCCACCCCACCCCCAUCACCGGACCCUGGGACCAGUCAGGGAGACAGUCAGUGGGGUCUUCCUGGCUCUGCUGCCUCCAGCAGCCUAGAGUCCAGUAGAGACACACUUGGUGCACCUGGAGAGCUCCAGGAGUUUCUGUCACACAUUGGACAGGAAACUGGCCAGGGUCUCUUCUGCCAUUCCUCCUAAGGGCUGUUGGUCCCAACUGGCCACGCGUGGGAAGCAAGGCUUCACCCUGAUUAACACUGGCAGCAAAGCAGAAACUAGGCCAGGAAGGCCUUUAAGUGAGAAGAGGACCAGUGACCUGACUGUCUGCCUCUGGAUGGCUGUAGAGAGCUCAGGGUGUGCGUCUGUGGCUUGGCAGGUCAAGGUGGCCCCCACAGAGUGUCUGAUGCGAGGGAAGAGCAAGCCCUCAGCAGACCUUCGCCCCUGCUCUGUGCAGCCCCAGGCAGAGUUUCUUCAGUACCCUCUGCCAGAAAUGGCAGUGAUGAUGCUGUCUCCACGCAAGAGCCGCAAGGCCAGUCAAAGCUGAAGCGGGCCAAGUCCCUCGCCCAAUCUGGCACCGAGUUUGCACUGAACAAAUGGUAACCACUGCUGCUGGGCACCAGGAGCCUCCAGGGGGGCAUGGAAAUGUCCUGUCCUCCCCCAGGCCUCAUUGCACAUUUCCUUGCAUUUUAACAUCCCGGAAAUCUCAUAGAAGGUGUUUUGUGAUCACCACUGGCCUGGACCGAAAUUGAGAUCUUCCCAAGUAGGUUUCUGUUUGCUCCCACCAGUGAUCUGGGGCACAGCUCCUGAAACCCCUUGGGGACCACGUGGGUUGUGUGGCCCCAGUUGAGAACUGGCUGGCCGUUCAAAGGGUCGGGAUUCCUCCCUGACUCCACAAUGGCCAGGACAGAGGCCACAGGACUCUGUGCGGUCCCUCUCUGGUGGUGGUUUACUUAUCUUCUGCACCGACUGCAGCCUUUCACUGGCACAGCUUCAUGGAAGGGUCCCCGUGACACUCCCCAACUUGGACACAUUUCCUUUCUUAGUAACAUGUCAAACCCUGAUCAUCCUCUACUCAAGGCCAUCUCUUGGAUUUGAUGACUGUGGCACUAGUGCCUCCGAGGCAUACUGCAGUAAACAUAACCUGUUUAACCCUCUCACAUGUAUCUGACCGUUUUUCUUGUAGCAUCUAUUGACAUCCUACAGCAGAGGUAGAGAGUGCGGUGUUUUUAAUGAAAAUCUGUUGUGAUUCAUUUGGCAAUGCAAGGGCUCUUCCAUUACCUGGUUAGUGUGAAUUUUCAAAUCCUAUCCUGUCGGGAGAACCCCUGGGUGCUUUAGGCUAUGCAGCCUUCAGAGGUGUGACGCCUGAUGAGAAUGCACAGAUGCAUCCUGUGGAGCUGACAGCCCCGCCACCGAGCCUGGAUGGCACACCGGUCCCCAGCCUGGGGGACAGGAGAUGCUGACACA